UGGCUCGAGUGGCGAACGGGUGAGUAACACGUGAGUAACCUGCCCUUGACUUUGGGAUAACUUCAGGAAACUGGGGCUAAUACCGGAUAGGAGCUCCUGCUGCAUGGUGGGGGUUGGAAAGUUUCGGCGGUUGGGGAUGGACUCGCGGCUUAUCAGCUUGUUGGUGGGGUAGUGGCUUACCAAGGCUUUGACGGGUAGCCGCCCUGAGAGGGUGACCGGCCACAUUGGGACUGAGAUACGGCCCAG
rnacentral:rRNA from 1 species